AUACGAGGGGUGCAAGCGUUAAUCGGAAUUACUGGGCGUAAAGCGUUCGUAGGCGGUUUGUUAAGCAAGAUGUGAAAGCCCAGGGCUCAACCUUGGAACUGCAUUUUGAACUGGCAGGCUAGAGUACUGUAGAGGGUGGUGGAAUUUCCAGUGUAGCGGUGAAAUGCGUAGAGAUUGGAAGGAACAUCAGUGGCGAAGGCGGCCACCUGGACAGAUACUGACGCUGAGGAACGAAAGCGUGGGGAGCAAACAGGAUUAGAAACCCCGGUAGUCC
rnacentral:rRNA from 1 species